AAAUCUUUAUCGAUGCAGGAAAUAGGAAUAAUACAAUAUUAUUAUUACACCAUUAACCUAGUAAGUCCAGGAAAUUCUGCUCAAAUCCUGUGAUAAGGGGAGUCGGGAGACGUGGUACAUAUAGAUAAUUGUGAAACUUCUUGGAUCUUUACAAAAUGUUUAAAGCCAGUAACAGAGUCGAUCAAACAUUUGUUUUUAACAUCAACUAGGAGAUUAAAAUAUCCGAGAAAAUCUGCAUCUAAAAUGGGACGUUGAAUAUCCGCGAUGCAAAAUUUCCAACGGAAAUUUUUCCUGAGGCCAAGAUCCAAAGAAAGAGUUUUAGAACCAUAAGUAUGAAUUUGAGUACCAUUAGCAGCAAAAAGUUUAAAAUUAGUUGAUAAUGGUUUAAACAAAACUCUCUUAGGAAUUAAGGAAAUAUUAGCGCCAGUAUCGACAAGAAAAUGUAAAUUAGAAGAUUUGUCAAAAAUUACGAGGCGAUGAAAAGGUAAACCGUUGUAAGCAGCCUCAAUCUUCAACGGCGCUUCUAGUUUUCCUAAGAGUCAGUAAGAAUUUUUGACAUUAUGCAAGGAAUGGUACAUUUCUUUGCUCUAUCACCAAAUUUUUUUAUGAUAAAAACAAAUUGGCUGAUCUUUAGAAUUGGGUUUUUUAUUCCGUGAAUUUGAUCUAAAUUUUGAUUUGCUUCUAGAUCAGCUUGAACAUCUGCCACGACAACGAGAAACUUCGAGUGCAGCGAUUCUUCGUUCUAAUUCAGAAAAAUCCGGUUGUUUAGAAGUUGAUUGCGUAUUAACUUCCGCGACUUGAAAAUCAGUAUCACGUUCAACAAUUUUAUUCGCAAGUUCCGAGAGCUUGACUAAAGGCGGAUUUUCAACAAUUUCCGAUAUCGCGACUAAAGCUUGUUCAUCGAGAUGACGAAUAACAGAACUAUAUUUAAUAUCUUCGGAACGGAUACGGUAUACGGUAAAUUCAAUCUCAAUCUGAGCAAACCACAGCUUGGGUUGCUUAUGCCAAAGGAUUGGAAGUUUCAACAGGCGAAAUUUAUUAGAAUGGAUCCGAGUGGACUCACCAAAUGAUUGAUGUUCUAUACCAGAAGGCAUUUUAUUAAUGGCUUUCAGAGAAGAGCCAAGACGAUCCAGGAAUCAAAAUUCGAAGAUUCUUGAAGACACCAAAUGGCACUUCAGAAAUUAAAUUUUCCGCGUCAAAAGAUAUUUCUGUAUAGUAUUCUCGUUAUUAUCAAACUCAUUUAUUUCUAUAUUAUUUUAUUUAUAGGCGUGUUAGUAACAUUUUCUGCAUUUGAUUAUUUGCGGCAUGUGAAGCCAUUUUGUGUAAACCAGCGCCCCUAGAUUCUAGGGAAGGCGACGCUAUAUAGCUAGCGUAGAGUGAACGCGCUCUCUCUCCAGCGCCGUCUCCCGUGUAAUGCACAUCGACAUUGUCGAGCCAACAAUCCUUUUGUAAGAAAAGUAAUUUUUAAAUAUAUCGUUUUUUAAACCAACGAUGGUAGUAGCAUUAUUCAUUUCAAUUGUUUCUUGUUCAAUUUCAACAUACAUCGUUAUC